GAUGAAGAACGCAGCGAAAUGCGAUACUUGGUGUGAAUUGCAGAAUCUCGUGAACCAUCGAGUCUUUGAACGCAAGUUGCGCCCGAAGCCAUCAGGUUGAGGGCACGUCUGCCUGGGCGUCACAUAUCGUUGCCCAAUGCCUAUUGCAGUGCAAUAGGAAUUUCUAGGGCGAAUGAUGGCUUCCCGUGAGCGUUGUUGCCUCGCGGUUGGUUGAAAAUCGAGUCCUUGGUAGGGUGUGCCAUGGUAGAUGGUGGUCGAGUUAGAACGAUACCGAUCAUGUGCAUGCUCCCCAAAAUAUGGCCUCUAUGACCCACACGCGUCUUUUGACGCUCAUGACGAGACCUCAGGUCAGGCGGGGCUACCCGCUGAAUUUAAGCAUAUCAAUAAGCGGAGGA
rnacentral:misc_RNA from 1 species